rnacentral:rRNA from 1 species
GGACCCGCACAAGUAGUGGAGCAUGUGGUUUAAUUCGAAGAUACGCGCAGAACCUUACCAACACUUGACAUGUUCGUCGCGACUCUAAGAGAUUAGAGUUUUCGGUUCGGCCGGACGAAACACAGGUGCUGCAUGGCUGUCGUCAGCUCGUGUCGUGAGAUGUUGGGUUAAGUCCCGCAACGAGCGCAACCCUCACUUUUAGUUGCCAUCAUUAAGUUGGGCACUCUGAAAGAACUGCCAGUGAUAAGCUGGAGGAAGGUGGGGAUGACGUCAAGUCCUCAUGGCCCUUACGUGUUGGGCUACACACGUGCUACAAUGGUAUCUACAACAGGAAGCAAGACUGCGAAGUUAAGCAAAUCCCUAAAAGAUACCUCAGUUCGGAUUGGAGUCUGCAACUCGACUCUAUGAAGCUGGAAUC